rnacentral:rRNA from 1 species
UACGAAGGGGGCUAGCGUUGCUCGGAAUCACUGGGCGUAAAGCGCACGUAGGCGGCUUUUUAAGUCAGGGGUGAAAUCCUGGAGCUCAACUCCAGAACUGCCUUUGAUACUGAGAAGCUUGAGUCCGGGAGAGGUGAGUGGAACUGCGAGUGUAGAGGUGAAAUUCGUAGAUAUUCGCAAGAACACCAGUGGCGAAGGCGGCUCACUGGCCCGGUACUGACGCUGAGGUGCGAAAGCGUGGGGAUCAAACAGGG